AACGAACGCUGGCGGCAGGCCUAACACAUGCAAGUCGAGCGAAGCCUUCGGGCUUAGCGGCGGACGGGUGAGUAACGCGUGGGAACGUGCCCUUUGGUACGGAAUAGCCCCGGGAAACUGGGAGUAAUACCGUAUGUGGUCGAGAGACGAAAGAUUUAUCGCCAAAGGAUCGGCCCGCGUUGGAUUAGGUAGUUGGUGGGGUAAUGGCCUACCAAGCCGACGAUCCAUAGCUGGUUUGAGAGGAUGAUCAGCCACACUGGGACUGAGACACGGCCCAGGCUCCUACGGGAGGCAGCAGUGGGGAAUCUUAGACAAUGGGGGAAACCCUGAUCUAGCCAUGCCGCGUGAUCGAUGAAGGCCUUAGGGUUGUAAAGAUCUUUCAGUGGGGAAGAUAAUGACUGUACCCACAGAAGAAGCCCCGGCUAACUUCGUGCCAGCCGCCGCGGUAACAC
rnacentral:rRNA from 1 species